CCUACGGGUGGCUGCAGUGGGGAAUAUUGCGCAAUGGGCGAAAGCCUGACGCAGCGACGCCGCGCGGGUGAUGAAGGCCUUCGGGUUGUAAAGCCCUGUCGGGUGGAACGAACGAUCUGGCGGCGAAUAACCGCCGGGUGUGACGGUACCCGGAGAGGAAGCCCCGGCUAACUCUGUGCCAGCAGCCGCGGUAAUCCAGAGGGGGCAAGCGUUAUUCGGAGUUACUGGGCGUAAAGGGCGCGUCAGCUGUGUAAUCCCCGAGCUCAACUUGGGAACUGCAUCUGAGACUGGAAGGCUAGAGUACUGGAGAGGGUGGUGGAAUUCCUCGUGUAGCGGUGAAAUGCGUAGAGAUGAGGAGGAACACCAGUGGCGAAGGCGGCCACCUGGACAGUAACUGACGCUGAGGCGCGAAAGUGUGGGUAGCAAACAGGAUUAGAUACCCCGGUAGUC
rnacentral:rRNA from 1 species